GGGCGGUUACCCAAGCGGUCAACGGGGGCAGACUGUAAAUCUGCUGGCUUCGGCCUUCGGAGGUUCGAAUCCUCCACCGCCCA
rnacentral:tRNA from 1 species